UAAUGCUUAAAGAAAAUGGUUCAGAUGACGAUACGACAAACGACACAUUUUUUGUGUCGAGUAGUGGGAGGCCGAUACAUAACCCCUCCAAUGACUUGAAAAGGCUACACGACAAAUAUAAUUCUCCCAGUGUGACCUGCGGCGAUGCCCGGAGAUCAUUUGAGACGGCUGCGAAAAACCUGACAGAGCUAGAGAGGAAUGCAGUGGCACGGCUCUUGGGGCACUCCCGAGAAACUGCUGAAAAACAUUACCGGAUGAAAACUCCGGCAGAUGCAUUUCUGGCCCAAAGUGUGAUUGACCAGCUUGCUGGAAAAACACGACAAGGGUUUGGUGGGGCUUCCAGCCGAGAGCCAAGGGUGGACGAGCAAACAGCAUUUGACUCUUUGACACAAUCCUGGCCAAUGACUCUGGACGGGCCUCCUCCAAAAAGGGCAUGCAGGCAGCAACUGUGUGCGGAACACGAAAGGCACUGCUAUGACCGCUGGCGUAGCGAGCAGCUCAAGCUGCGUGAAAAGCAUAUCCAUGAACAUUUUGGAUGCCGGAAGCCGUCUACGUCCAAAAUCGAGGCUUGGAUUCAGAAACGAGGGUGGACAUCUAACAACCCACAAGCUUCAUUAAUUCUGAGGCAGUGGAAGCCUGUUGGGACCGUUGACACUGCCCUUGACAGCAGCUUUGUUCGUAGUAUGGUCACAGCACAACGCUGGAAAGGGCUGACUAUCAAGGAUGUCCCUGAGAAGGGUCGUGGGGUCUUCACCAAAAGGCGCUUUGAACAAGGGGAGGUAGUCUGUGAAUACCACGGCCGGCUGGUCAGCCGAGAAGAGGGGUUGGCGAUUCAUGCCUCGUCCCCUGACAUGAAUCCUGGUCAUUUGCUCUUUUAUAAGAACAAAAGGAACGAGGCCAUGUGCAUUGAUGCACAUGAAGAAAGCUGCCAGUGCCAUCCUCUCUCCAUAAUCUAUGGGCGCCUGAUAAAUCACUCCAGCAAAAGAGCCAACAUUCGCCCAAGGCUGUUCAUCCAUAAUGAUAGAGACGUCAUUCUCUUCAUUACAUUGAGAGACAUUCUGGUCAAUGAGGAGUUACGCUACGACUAUGGCAGCAAGAAGAAAUCUUUUGCAGGGAAAGGGGUGGAAUUAGACUGGAUGUGAAACAACAUCUUUCCAACACUCUCUCCUCAGGACAACUGGGUUAAAGGGACUGGGGUUUCUUACACAGUUCAAGUUCAAGCAACUGUUUGCUUACUUCAGAGGCCAAGAUAAGUUCACUUCACCAUUUUUCAGUAUCAGUCCGCACAGCUCUACGCACACAAGGACUAAUGACUGAAAGGAUCUUCUGAGAAUGAUAAGCCCAUUGUUUUAUAUACAGUUUUCUACACAA